rnacentral:rRNA from 1 species
UACAGGCUUAACACAUGCAAGUCGAGGGGAAACGAUAUUGGAAGCUUGCUUCCGAUAGGCGUCGACCGGCGCACGGGUGAGUAACGCGUAUCCAACCUGCCCACCACUUGGGGAUAACCUUGCGAAAGUAGACUAAUACCCAAUGAUAUCUCUAGGAGACAUCUGAAAGAGAUUAAAGAUUUAUCGGUGAUGGAUGGGGAUGCGUCUGAUUAGCUUGUUGGCGGGGUAACGGCCCACCAAGGCAACGAUCAGUAGGGGUUCUGAGAGGAAGGUCCCCCACAUUGGAACUGAGACACGGUCCAAACUCCUACGGGAGGCAGCAGUGAGGAAUAUUGGUCAAUGGACGAGAGUCUGAACCAGCCAAGUAGCGUGCAGGAAGACGGCCCUAUGGGUUGUAAACUGCUUUUAUAAGGGAAUAAAGUGAGUCUCGUGAGACUUUUUGCAUGUACCUUAUGAAUAAGGACCGGCUAAUUCCGUGCCAGCAGCCGCGGUAAUACGGAAGGUCCGGGCGUUAUCCGGAUUUAUUGGGUUUAAAGGGAGCGUAGGCCGGAGAUUAAGCGUGUUGUGAAAUGUAGACGCUCAACGUCUGCACUGCAGCGCGAACUGGUUUCCUUGAGUACGCACAAAGUGGGCGGAAUUCGUGGUGUAGCGGUGAAAUGCUUAGAUAUCACGAAGAACUCCGAUUGCGAAGGCAGCUCACUGGAGCGCAACUGACGCUGAAGCUCGAAAGUGCGGGUAUCGAACAGGAUUAGAUACCCUGGUAGUCCGCACGGUAAACGAUGGAUGCCCGCUGUUGGUCUGAAUAGGUCAGCGGCCAAGCGAAAGCAUUAAGCAUCCCACCUGGGGAGUACGCCGGCAACGGUGAAACUCAAAGGAAUUGACGGGGGCCCGCACAAGCGGAGGAACAUGUGGUUUAAUUCGAUGAUACGCGAGGAACCUUACCCGGGCUUGAAUUGCAGAGGAAGGAUUUGGAGACAAUGACGCCCUUCGGGGCCUCUGUGAAGGUGCUGCAUGGUUGUCGUCAGCUCGUGCCGUGAGGUGUCGGCUUAAGUGCCAUAACGAGCGCAACCCCUCUCCUUAGUUGCCAUCAGGUCAAGCUGGGCACUCUGGGGACACUGCCACCGUAAGGUGUGAGGAAGGUGGGGAUGAC